GUGGAGUAAGUAAGCAUGCUUUCAAGAUGGUUGAUGAAAGCCUAUAGGUAUUAUCUUGCUCAGAAGCUUAGUAGAGUCAGCAGGACACGUGGAAUAGCACCAUGUGUGCUGGCUGCCAUGGUAAACCACACACAACCAGUAUGUACUGCCAAUGAAGAAGAAGAAAAUUUGACUCUGGUUAGCUGCUACUGUUUAGGCAAGAGUGGUUAGCAGGGCUUUUUUUGUGCAACAAUUUGAGCAGGAAUUGCUAUCUGAGAAUUUCAGCAUCACCGAAGAUUUUACCGGUGCCUCCCUUGGGGAACUUGCACUCCAUGUGGAAACUGCUUGACCAGUAGUGCAUUUUCUUCCUGCUUGCUUUUAUUUUGCAGGAGCUCAUCCCAAAGGCUCAGGAAGCUAAACAUGCAUCCAUUUUAAAUGGGGAUGUGUUGAAGAGGCAGGGACUAGGAGCAAUGCCCUCUCUCAGGGCCUAAUGCUUACUCAUGCUAGAAGAUGGAAGCAUGGAAAUGUGUGUGUGUGUGUGUGUGUGUGUGUGUGUGUGUGUGUGUACAGGUAUACUUAUAGUGUGGGAAACAAAAGUGAGGCCAGUUGGAAUUAAAAAUCCAAUAAGUAGAAUGGAAAAGGUCUGGAAAAAUCCAGUACACCCUUAUUUAUCAGGUAGAAAUGUCCUUCAGGAGCUACAGAGCUGCCAAGCCAGCUUUGCUGAAGAAAAACCAUGCCUUCAAGCAAAGCUGAUGGUGCAGGAGCAGCCAGGAGCCCUGCCAGAAAUCAAAGGGGACAGUGAGAGAUGAGGAUUAAAGCCUGAGAUGGAAAUCAGUCACCUACAUUUUUCUCCUAUGAAAGUACGCAAAUGAAUGACAAAGGGCCAUUGACACUAAAGGUGACCUAGAAGGGGUGGCAUUUUGAAAAAGAAUGCUAAAGAGGAUAGAAGGAUAAAAAUAGCAGUUAUAAUAAGACACUGCAAGGGAGGGCCUCACGUAAGGGGAAUUCACGUCAGCGGGGCUUCCAUUCAAAUACUUGCUUGUGUGCAUAUAUUCAGAUGAAGUGUUUUAUGUACAGUUGAGCUGAGGCCACUGAUGGCUCAGUCUAUUUCCUGAAUACGUUGGUAUCACAUGAGUUUUAUCCUAUUUCUGUAUUAAUCUGCUUCCCUUACAAAAUAAGAUCUGCAUGAACAUUCAUCUUUCAGGGCAUAUUUUUGAAAUAUCUUCUCACCAAGUCCACAUAACGUAUGUUAUUCUAAAAUCUCUGUUUCUUUGUACACAUUUUGGUAUGGUCUUUGAGAUGAAAAAUGCACCACAGAACUUGGAGAAGUCUGAAAUCUGAAGGAUAACUGUGUUUUAGUCUGCUUAUUCAUCCAGGAAGUGCAGAUCAGAUAGGUAGGCGGGGCCUCCCUCCUCUGAUGUCACGAUGACUUUGAAAGCCCUGCCCACCAGCUAACUGGCACCAGUUGCAAUCCCAGCUCGGGCAGCAAUUGGCUGCACUUGGAAAAUUUUCAUCAGGCACCACCAGGUGGCUGAUGGGUGGUUCUUGAAAACACCACUUCAGCAGAGAUCAACUCCCUUCAUCACCAUGUGCUGCCCUUGGAUGGGCAAGAGUUUAGUUGCUUUUCUAGGGCAGCAUAUGUUAGAACUAUGUCCCAAAGUUUUUUGGGUUUUUUAGCCAAUCAGGUGAGAAAAUAAGUGGCAUACCAGUAUCUAUGGCAUGUAGUUUUCCAGCAACGGGAGAGCGAAGAGCAGAGCGCUAUGGGAAAGGAAGAUAAAGCAGUGAAGGGACAUUGGCCUGGAUAUUUUCUUCAUCCCCUUCCAAAAGCCACAUCAACUGUGAAAUAUUGUGGGCCUUAUAACUGGCAUACAAAUUCUUCUGCUACCAAAUUGGAGGAAAGGGAUGAGCUUGGAAGACAGGGGCCCACACUUCCUUCAUUUCUUUACACUGUACUCCUUUUUAAUUGUUAUAAAAUGAAUUGUUAUGUCUUUCAAAAAGGUCUAGAUAUGAAGUGCUCUACUCCGGGAUUGUGGGGUCAGGGAGACCCAGAUCCAGUUUUCUUUUAUCCCACUUCCAAAGAGAGAGAGAGAGAGAGAGAGAGAGAGAGAGAGAGAGCUUGUUUUGUAUUUAAAUGUUUCCAAUUAUAAUGUUUAGGAAAUCAUGCCUAUAUCCAUCUUGAGUUGUUAGAUCCAUCAGCGUCAUCUCUCUUUACUCCCUCCUCCCUCUUCUAUGUAAAGUCUGGAACAAUGCAGGAUGUGUUGAGGAAAAACUGUUUCAAAUUAAGUUGAAUGUCAGGCUUUAAAAGUUUCCAAGGCUAAUUCAAAGGACUGUCCUAGAGCUUGGUUUCAGAGUUAUGAAAAAUUGGAAUCCCUUGCUUGAAUACAUUAUGCUGUGUUACACAGCAUAGUUUCAGCUUGUAGAAAUCUGAAAUGAAUUCAACUAUUUGAGUAGACUUAGGCUGUAAUAGAGCAAGCAUAUCUGUUUUCAUGCAAAGGGGCAAUUGUGCUUUUUGAUUCUCUCUUGAGGAAUAAGGGAGACUAUUAGAGUGAGCACAAUCACUAAAGUACUAUAUUCUAUUGAAGGUGUUCAGUGUUCCUAAUCUUGCUUGGGUUAUGCCUAGUGUCUCCCCCCACCCCAGUUAAGAACAUACAGUCUAACAUAGAACCUAAAAAGUGCACCCUCUCUACACUGCAUUUAUAUAUAAGGCCUCUGGACUUUCUUUCUAUGGCACUAUAGGCCAGUAAUGGAGAAAGGGUGCAAUACUGUACAUCACAAAAUCACCAGUCUGUAUGGUGGAAGGCAGCAGUCAGAUGGGUAGCUUAACUCAUCAUGCCCAAAUCAGAUUAUAGCCUGCUGUCAUCUUUCUGACUCCCAGGCUAUAGCAAGAUCUGAUUUUGCUUGCUUCUGUUUUUGGCCAGGAUUCCAUGAAGAAAAAGAAGCGGAAAGCUUGUAAAACUCUGAGCAGGUAGCUGGUCCAAUAAAAUAUAUAAUUCUAUCUACCAUUUGUAUCAAACUCUUCUUGCUCUUGAAGAAGCUAACUCCUUAAAGGCUUCCUGCUUAAUUUUUUUUUACCUUGGGUACCCUAUUAUUGCUAUGGCUAUGCUGCUUUUUGCAUUUGUCUUUGACUAAAGAAACAUACACAUGGUGAAGUGUUGGUCUGAAAAUGCACUGUUGUUACACUACAGAUUAAAAUAAGGAUGAAGGAAGAGUGAUGGGUUCCUCUGGGGAGGCUUGAUAAAUGUACGUGCACACACAGCACAUUAAUUGUUCCGGGGUCAGCUCUCCUGCUCAAGACAAAUACCUGCACAUUUACAUCUGACACACUUAUUUGUCAAAUCCCAAAGCUGCUUCUGCUUCUAAACCUACAGCAAAACUGCCAUUGUGCUCACAUACAAAUUUCUGCAGGUUGCAUCCGGUGCCAGUCCAGCUCAGAGUAGACCUACUGAUGUUAAUGCGCACAACUAACUCAGGUUCAUUAAUUUCAAUGGGCCUCCUUUAAAUAAGUUUAAUAUGGAUCAGAACCCUGACCAUGCUUUGAUUCUAUGCCUUCAGUAGCACAGGGAACCUCCGUAUGAAUAGGCACAGCAUCUUCUUUCAAAAUGAAGACCCACGAAUUGCCCUGGUAUAGUGCUCAUAUUCUGUUUGGGUUUGGAAUAAAAUGCACUUACCACAUACUUUUCAUUAGAGCUGGAAUAAUUCUUCAAUUUCUAGGUGCUUCAUGAUUUAUUUUGAGCCAGUGUGUUCCAGCGUGUGAUACAUAAGGGUGAGGGACAAGGCAAAACUUAAGGAAGAGGAGUAGAGAAAGCAGUGCCUAGGCCUCUCUGGGGCAAGCCACCAGCCUUUUUUGCCGGGAGGUGUGUGUGUCAAGUCACCAGCUAUGACUGCCAAAACCACAAUUGCCAAAAUCUGUUCUUUAAAAAGAAAUCUGUCCUUACAUCUAUUCUUUGCAUAAAGAAAAUAUACUUAGUGUUUCCUUUUCUAUCUCAGCUCUCUUACCAGAGGCUUCAUUUGACAGUGAUGGAACUAAACACAUGAAAUGGCGGAGUUUUUGUUUGAUAAAAUCUGAAAUGCAAAUGGAUUACAUCAAUGAUGGGGAAACUGCGGCCCUCUGUUCUUGAUAAUGGCCUAGACAUUGCAGGAUUCACACACUAAGGGAAGCAACAGGGCUCUAUUGAUCCUUAUGCUGAUCCCUCCCCAUAUGCAGGUAUGCUCUAAGAUGGAUCAUACCCUAGGUUUGAAAUAUGACCCCUUUCUUCAAUAUUCAACCUCAGUGGAAUAUUGGAGGUGAUCAGUUAGAAAGUCUGCAAAGCCAAAGGUGACAGAUAACUGUGUCAUCCAGGGACUGGGAUCCUAUCAUGCUGCAUACAUCAUUGACUCCAACUCCCAUCAGCCCCAGCCAACAUGGUUAAUGGUCAGGGAUGAUGGGAGUUGUAACUCACACCUUCCUAUCCUCAUUUGGCGCUCUCUCUUAGGUGCCUCUGGUAAACUCAUGUUGGGGUGGGGGGCUGGAUCAGGAUAAAAAGAUUAUCACAAAUCUCCUUGAUCAUGGUUGAUGUGGGGAAAGGGGAGUGACAGUUGGGUUUUAUUUAGCUUCCUGCAGAUUCUUUCACACACAUAUAUUGUGCCUCCACUAAAAUGGACAAUGUCCUAUACAAUUCUGCUUUAAUGGAGCCAAGUGUAGAAAGAGGAGAGUACAGUCACCCUGCUGUGGGGAAGCUAAAGGUGAGCUAUCCAUCACUAACUAGCCAUGAGGCAAUCUCUUCCUAAAUACCAACACAGCCUUCUUGUUGAAAAAUUGGAGUUCUGCUUACUAGCGUUGCCUAGAAAGGGAUUUCCUGUAAAAGGAAGUGGCUCCUCUACUCUUAAGGUUACUUAUUGCACAACAGUAAACAUGAAUUUGUGUAUGCUGAGUGAGAUAGACUUGACAAAAGUCUACUAGCACCUAAAGAUUAAAUCUUGUCCGUUAGCCAGAUGCAAACCCUUUUCCUGUUAAGCCUUUAAAGAAAACCUAUCUGAGUCUUCAUUAUAGGCACAACUGAGAAGAUUGUGAGGUUUAGGCUUCCACAGCUACUAAAUGCAAAAUAAGUGAAGUAGUCCCACACCUUAGAAAGAAAUGUAUAGCAAGAAGAACAUGUAUUCUGGUAACUGGCUGCAUAUUCUUUUCUCCCUCAUAACAGUGUGUUUAGUUGAGAUAAGGGGUGCACUUCUGGGUCAGAAGCUGCUAUGUAUACUAGUUGAUUCUCACUUUAAACAUGCUAAGUUUUUUGAGGUUUUCUGAGAUGUCCACCACAGCACAAAAUUAUCCUUUGCAGCAUGCGUCUACAUACUCCUGCCAAUCACAGUAUUUUCAUUUCUGUGUUUAUAAUUGGUAAAUGCUGUUGUCUUUCAUAAGUAUAAGCUUCUAUAGCAUCUCUUAAAAGGAGAAAAGCGAAAUAAAGUGGAAUGGGAAAUCCAAGCCCUAGAAAUGUGGCACUCCUAAGUGAGGGAUUUCAUUUAGUUUUGAGAAAAUGGCCUUCAGUGGCUUCAGUGACUCUUUAGGCAAAAUUCUGGUUGUUCAGGGCAAUAUUUCUUUCUGCAGUGCAAGGCGUGCAGUUCAUAUACCAUGCAGAAUUGGAUUCUGGUCCCACAUUUUAAAUUAAUUGUUGAUUGGUUGAAUGACUCCCUCUUCCCUCCGUAUUUUUAGCUACAAGAGAGAAGCAUUUCAGAGCAAUCUCAUUGUCAAAAGCUGAUGAAUUGCAUUGGCAUAUUUCCCCGAAACACAGCAAAUUCUUCAUUGUGACUGAGAAGGUUAUUUGAAAAACACACUUGGAUAUACUCAAAAAAUUAAGAGCUCUCCAAAAGAUCAGGACCUGGCACCUGCCAAUUAAUCAAUUCAGCAAACCAAAAUAUAAUUAAUAAUCAGAUUUAUGCAUUCAGAUAUGGUGGCAUUAAUGAUAAAUGGAAAUGAAUGUUGUGAAAUUUAAUCCUGUGUGUUACUCUGAGCUCCUUGGGGAGGAAGGGCGGGAUAAAAAUUCAGUGAAUAAUAAACACUUCAUCUUCUGUCCAAGUGGAGUCAGAUGCUAUAAAAGUUUAAAGCAGCACCCUGUCUCAAAUCAGUGGGACACAGCCUUUCCUUUCUCGCCACUAAAAAGCCCUCAUUUUCCUCUUUCCUCAUUACUAUUUUUCUAUACUUCAUUUGUCUAGUAGUGGGGUGUUUCAGAAUGUGGCUGUAGGGAUCAUGGGAAAGUUCACAUAGACACCCUUGCCUAGUCCACAGCUACCACUAAGUGUGUGUGUGUGUUCAUGUGUUUUCUGAUACUGCCUGACAAUGCUGAAAUUAAUGCAGAUUGGCAUUUAGCAUGCUAUUCCAAGUGCCCAUUUAUUUCCACCCACCGUGAUAUGCGAAAAGUGCAGGACUGGUUGCAGUCACAUGACUUGACUCAACAUGCACUGCUGGCUAUAGAACUUGGUGUGGGCUGAGUGUUUUCUGAUGACAGUCACACAUUGAUGGGAUGAUGGGAUUUGGCCUUGACAGUGGCAGCAUCCACACAUGAUGCCCAAACCAUUUUUAGUGCUAUGGGAACAAGCCCUGAGGUAUAUUCAGAAUGUCCUAGUGGGAGUGUCUGCACAACCACAGAUGGAAAACAGUGUGGGGUCUUUUAAUUUUGAAGUGUCUCAAGAACCAGCCCAAUGGAUACAGGUGAGUCAUUGCCUGUGGUGAAGUUUUGUAUGCAGCUAUUUUCUUUGUGUAUUGGUAUUAUUUUCUCUUCUUUUCAGAGCUGUGAUUCACAUCACCUUUAGCUCUCUAGUUUGGGUAAACUACAGUUCCCAGAAUACUUUGGGGGAAGCAAAUGGUUUUUUUUACAUGUAUAGUAUGUUUGCAGCCAUAGUAGCUGUCUUUUAAAGGUAGGGAAACUUUAUAUUUUUUUAUUUCAAGCCCAGCUAAUCUCCUCUAAGUGCAAUUAUAAUCUUGACAGUAUUGGAGGAAGUUUAAGGAUACAUCUGAAACUCCUGUCUUCACUUGCCUCUUUAGAAAAAUAUGGCUUGUACAUCUAAAAAAAGGAUUUGCAUACUCAAGUCAGCUAAUUAACUAGUCCGACUGUCAUAUUUUUCACUUUGUAUUUUUUUAAAGAAAUUGAAAAUGCUGGGUGGCGUUUUUGGUCUAACAUAGGAAAACUGCAGGAAGGCAGCAAGUUGUCAGUCGAGCUAAUCUCACAGCAUCCUUUUCUCUCUUUAACGAAAUAAUAAAGCUGGAGGAGCAGAUUUGCCACCUUUCUAAUUCUGAUCUUUUGUGAUGAGUAAAGCUAUUUUUUAAUAGAAAUCUGAUAAAGGGGUAAAUAUGUGCGAUCAUGAGCUUCAGUGAACGUAGUGGGAGUUACUGAUGAAAAGCCUGAUUCUAAUAAUGGAAUCCAUAGUAUGAAUAAAAAGGAGGCAUGUGUAUUUUGUUGUUAUCAUGAACAUACACCAGCUGAAUGAAUAGUUUGAUUGCAUGAGCAUGUGCCAGCAAAAUAUGUCUGGCAUUAACCCUUAAAACAGCAGCAUUUUGGUUCAUUCCUUUCUCUUCACCCAACAUGUGCCUAGUGUCUCAAGACUCUGUAUCUAGCUCCUUGACAAUAAAACUUUCCCAGUACAUCUUUACAGCCUUCUGUGAUGCAUCCCUCCUGUACCUUGAGCUUCAGUUCCCGCUGGUGGUAUCAUCUUCCAGGUCAUAUCUGGGGCAAACAGGCGCAGAAGAGGGCUGGGCUUUUUGUAGCUUUAAUAGUUGCAUAGAAGAGGGACUUCCCACUAGUUGGUCUUUUAUCAUCCUUCUAACAAGCUGCAUCUACUGAAAUUCCUUGUUCUCCACAGUUACUAGAAAUUCAGGAGCUGCAUUCUCCUUUGCAUCUGCUCACCCCCCUGAAAGGCGAUUCUGGAAGUGUAAAUGGGAUGUGCUAACAAAUGAGAAAAGAGGCUCACCUCUGAGAAUUCCAGAGAGUGGUAACUGCUGUAUACAAAAUUCUGGAACAAGGCGCCACAACUCGUUGCCCACAAAGGCGAGCACAACCUGACUGGGUGGGUUGUGCUAGCCUGUUUUAAAGACAGGUGUCAGAUAUCAAAUCAAUCCUCCUAAUCCCAGAAUGUGGAGUCUCAGUUACAGGUGUCUGCAUGCUUAUAAGCAUUUUUGGUCUUAACCACCACCCCUUGCCAUUGGGCAAGGGAGCUGAUAAGCUCUAUAGUUCAACGUAUCUGAAGGUCACCAACAGAAAGAGAGAGAGCCAGGAAGGGGGAAAAGUUACAUGUAAAGUGGCAGUCUCCCUGUUUUAUGAGAGCUGGAUUAGAGCAAUAUUGGGGGCGGGGGGAUUGGGGAUUGGAAAGUAGAAAGGUUCAGACUUGGUGGUUGUACCGAGAUGGUUGUACCAAUCCUGAGUUUCUGGAGCUUUCACAGGAAGGGGCCUUGUCCCCACUAGAGGGAAAUCACAGAUACAUAAAUUUACCCUCAGGAUUAUUUUGCACGCACUUUGUGUGGAAAUGGAUCUCUAUCCCUGAGGCAGUCCUGUGCUCUAGUCAUAUGCAUUGGUGAGAUGAUCUAAGAGUCUAUGGGCUGUGUGUAUGCAUUCUGUGAUGCUCGUUAAGAGUUAUUUGAUUGAAACAUGGGGUAUAACUUUUCAAAAUAAAUAUAUAUGUCAAUGGUAUCCUUUGUGAAUAUUGUAUUAUUUACUAAAAUGCAUGCAGAGCUCUUUGAAAGCAAAUAAACACCCUCUCAACAGGAAAUACACUAACCUUGCAUUUUAUCCCUAGAGAUAAGCUUAUCCCUCAAACUACACCCCUCUUUCAGCUAAACCCAGCUUGAAAUUUCCUGAGUAUACUCUUUCGGUAAGGAGCUACUUCAGUCUUGUGUGUGUAUAUAUGUGUGUGUGUGUGUUUGUGAGAGAGAGAGAGAGAGAGAGAGAGAGAGAGAGAGAGAGAGACAGAAACACAGACAGAGAGAUAGAUCAUCAUUACUGCAGUUUGGCAGCAAAGUAUUCUUGGACACUGAAUUAGCCUUUUCAUCCAGGCUGGCACUUGGGCCUUCACAGAGAGGAAAGGCUGUGAAGGGCUUCAGUUUGGGUUAGGUCUUUGCCUGAGGAGCAACAACAAGGUCUCCCCAGCUGUGGACUAUUUCUGUGUUCCUUGGAUGUGAUUCUCAGGCUUGGUCACAGACUCAAUUCCUAGCUGUUGGCUCACCUCUGAGAGCUGCUGGUGGCCAGGCUUUGACACUUUCACUCACAUUUGAAAACUGAAUGACUGGUUUCUCAGUCUGAGACAUUGUGCUGCCUGAGGCCCCCUGAAGAAACUAUGGAGUACCCAAGGGUGAUCACUGACAGAGGAAAUCCCACAAGCACCUUUCCCUUGGAGUAAAAAUGCAACAACAAUAAAUGAAAAAGUAACAAAUUUCUUUUCCUCCAUGGCACCCACAAUCAUCUGCCUGAGAUGAGCACUUCCCUCUGUAGAGCCGCUUACCCAUUACUCUUAUUCAGGCCUUGAUAGGUACUAUAUUGCACAGUUCAGAGCAGAUUCCUAGCUUUCUAGGAAUACUAGCAACCUGUCUGGUCCCUUAUUAGGCCAUAUUUUAGGCAAACUGGUGCUAGGUGAAUUCACAGUAAUCAAACCUGUGCAAACGCGUAACAGUACAAAACCUGUUGAGUUCCAGUGAACAGAUUUGGGGAUUUAUUGGUCAGGCAAAGUGAUGUCGUUGGGUUAACUUGACAGUGUGGCAUUCUAUUUGUAACAAAACUUUCUGAAUUAUUAAGAUGUUAUAAUGAAUCAUGGCACAUAAGUACAGGACACCAUACUUAAGUUUCAAGUUCAAGCUGAAUGUCCAAGGUGAAAUAAUAGAAAUUAAGUUGGUUUGCAGGUUCAGGACACUGUUCUGUGUUUUGCUUCCAUUUUCACGGGAGCCAGAAAAGAUGCAAAAUAUAGUGUAAUCUUUAGCAACAAGAUACAAGAAUGAAAUUUUGCAUGCUGGUUUAGAAUAAAUUUUUGGUUUUUUUUAAGUGUGAGACCCAUUAAACUCUUGCAACUGGUUUCAAGAAGAAAGCUAAGAUGUAAAAAUGUAGUGUCUAAAGCAGGGAUUCUUGAACACUAUGCCCUAUCACAUUUGUACCCCAUAUUUUCUCCAAAAAGCUUAGGGAAGCAUAUUUACGUUUACUCCAUUUUAUUAUCAUAAAAACCUUGUGAAGUAAGUUACAUUGACUAAUUUUCACUGGCUCAAGGUCAUUCUAUAAACUCCAUGCCUCAACAUCAACAUCUUUAUCAACGACUUGGAUGAUGGACUCAAGGGCAUCCUGAUCAAAUUUGCAGAUGACACCAAACUGGGAGGGGUGGCUAACACCCCAGAGGACAGGAUCACACUUCAAAAUGACCUUGACAGAUUAGAGAACUGGGCCAAAACAAACAAGAUGAAUUUUAACAGGGAGAAAUGUAAAGUAUUGCACUUGGGCAAAAAAAUGAGAGGCACAAAUACAAGAUGGGUGACACCUGGCUUGAGAGCAGUACAUGUGAAAAGGAUCUAGGAGUCUUGGUUGACCACAAACUUGACAUGAGCCAACAGUGUGACGCAGCAGCUAAAAAGCCAAUGCAAUUCUGGGCUGCAUCAAUAGGAGUAUAGUAUCUAGAUCAAGGGAAGUAAUAGUGCCACUGUAUUCUGCUCUGGUCAGACCUCACCUGGAGUACUGUGUCCAGUUCUGGGCACCACAGUUCAAGAAGGACACUGACAAACUGGAACGUGUCCAGAGGAGGGCAACCAAAAUGGUCAAAGGCCUGGAAACGAUGCCUUAUGAGGAACGGCUAAGGGAGCUGGGCAUGUUUAGCCUGGAGAAGAGGAGGUUAAGGGGUGAUAUGAUAGCCAUGUUCAAAUAUAUAAAAGGAUGUCACAUAGAGGAGGGAGAAAGGUUGUUUUCUGCUGCUCCAGAGAAGCGGACACGGAGCAAUGGAUCCAAACUACAAGAAAGAAGAUUCCACCUAAACAUUAGGAAGAACUUCCUGACAGUAAGAGCUGUUUGACAGUGGAAUUUGCUGCCAAGGAGUGUGGUGGAGUCUCCUUCUUUGGAGGUCUUUAAGCAGAGGCUUGACAACCAUAUGUCAGGAGUGCUCUGAUGGUGUUUCCUGCUUGGCAGGGGGUUGGACUCGAUGGCCCUUGUGGUCUCUUCCAACUCUAUGAUUCUGUGAUUCUAUGAUUCUAUGGGAGAUUUGAUCAAAAGCAGCCUCAGUUCAGAAUCUACAUUGAGGUAUGGCACUCCCCAGUCCGUACAGAACUGGACAUGUAGUUUUAGUUAUUAUGUAUUUGUGUAUUCAUAUCUCUGUGGUCCUUUGGUGCACACAUAUUCAGAGAUGAUGAAUAAGUCUUUUGCAGCAUUUCAGAAAAUCUAAGGACUGUACAUGUAUAGCAAACACAAGGAGAGGGGCAGCUGCACCACCUUGGUAUCAAUAUGUUGAAUGGGGCAUUGGAAAGAAGAGCUGAUGCAUGCAACCCUGUUCAUGCAUAAGCUCUCCACCCGACUGGGCAACCAGGAUGUGUAGGGUUCCCAGUGGGUGGAAUGCCUAUGUAUAUACAGCUAGGUGCUCAAUAGGGUCUCCUUUCAGGUGGCCUUCUGAAUUUGAGGUGGGUGGGCAGGCAGUGAAUGUGCAGGUAUGAGGAGGGGAUGAGCUGGCAAGCAUGGUCACCCUCCCCCCUCCACAUGUGCAGAGAAUUUACACAUCAUCACAGGAGUUAGGCAGCAACAUCCCACAUGUGCAUAUUUGAUGGUUCGCUUUCCAUUAUACAUGACAAAAGAACUGCCCCUGGUCUUAGGUGAAAUCCAGUGGCAUCAUGAUUAUCCUGAGUGAAUCCAGCAGAUGUCUGGUUUUAUCAGUCAACAUGCAAUAUCACAGCUGCAGCUGUAGACAUCGUGAAAUUCAAAGUUAUGAGAAGUGACAUUCUGGAACUUCCACUUCUGUGAGAUGGGACUAUAUCUGUUUCAAUGAUGCUAUGGACAGUUGAAUUAUUUCUUCUGUAUAUGAAUAAUUUGAAUAGGAAAAGGAUGAAAACCUUCAAAUAUGUGGCUUCCCAAACGGGAACUCUAGAGCACUCCCUCCCAAAUGCUUCAGCUAAACUAUGCCUUUACUCCAAAAAAAGAGAGAGGAGAACUUAGCUACAGUCAGAUUCCAGAAAUGGAGAUUAAUUUUUAUUAGAAACAUGCCUAAUUGUUUUGGGAGAGAAAGCACAUACGGCUUCUGCUGUGGUUGCAUCUUCCGGUUUGUUCUCGUCUAAGUGGAUGUGUUUAUCCACCACUAAGCCUUAUUUGCCCCCCCCCCAUUUAUAUGUUUGUUGACAAUGUGCAGGGUUGAACUGGCAUUUUCAUAUUUCAAUGCACCAAAGGCCCCUUAAAGAAGAUGGUUGCAAGUGAGAGAAAAGAGAUACGUAGCUUGCUCCCUAAUGGCUUAUUACCGUCACAUUUGCAAUUCAGAUCAGUUUUAAAUUGACUGAAAAUUUUCAACACAUAGCAGGCAGUUUAAACUAAUGAUUGUCUGGAGGUUCAUAUCUGACAUGAGCUAAGGUUCUGUUCAAAACAAAUAGCAAAUAAUUCCUCCCAUAGAGUCAAAAUGUCACAAUUUAAAAAGUGUACAUUGUUUCCAGAGUGUGUCAGUUCUAUAAGAAAACCACAUACGCAGCAAAUAUUAGAGGGCCCUAUUUGACUCCGAUUUUUUCUUGAUUUAAAAACAGAAAUGUUUAUUCACAUCUAAGAAGUAUGAGCAAAAGUCCUUUUU